GAUUAAGUUAUUAAGGGCGCACGGUGGAUGCCUUGGCACUAGAAGCCGAUGAAGGACGUUACUAACGACGAUAUGCUUUGGGGAGCUGUAAGUAAGCUUUGAUCCAGAGAUUUCCGAAUGGGGAAACCCAGCAUGAGUUAUGUCAUGUUAUCGAUAUGUGAAUACAUAGCAUAUCAGAAGGCACACCCGGAGAACUGAAACAUCUUAGUACCCGGAGGAAGAGAAAGAAAAUUCGAUUCCCUUAGUAGCGGCGAGCGAAACGGGAAGAGCCCAAACCAACAAGCUUGCUUGUUGGGGUUGUAGGACACUCUAUACGGAGUUACAAAGGACGACAUUAGACGAAUCAUCUGGAAAGAUGAAUCAAAGAAGGUAAUAAUCCUGUAGUCGAAAAUGUUGUCUCUCUUGAGUGGAUCCUGAGUACGACGGAGCACGUGAAAUUCCGUCGGAAUCUGGGAGGACCAUCUCCUAAGGCUAAAUACUCUCUAGUGACCGAUAGUGAACCAGUACCGUGAGGGAAAGGUGAAAAGCACCCCGGAAGGGGAGUGAAAUAGAACCUGAAACCGUGUGCUUACAAGUAGUCAGAGCCCGUUAAUGGGUGAUGGCGUGCCUUUUGUAGAAUGAACCGGCGAGUUACGAUUUGAUGCAAGGUUAAGCAGUAAAUGUGGAGCCGUAGCGAAAGCGAGUCUGAAU
rnacentral:rRNA from 2 species